GAACUUUGGAGAAUCCCGCAAUGAGGUGGGUGCCGAAGGGGCAAGAGGCAAAUUAUGCUUUAAUCUCUCAGGCAAACGGACGAAGUGAG
rnacentral:ncRNA from 1 species